rnacentral:rRNA from 1 species
UUGGAGGGCAAGUCUGGUGCCAGCAGCCGCGGUAAUUCCAGCUCCAAUAGCGUAUAUUAAAGUUGUUGCAGUUAAAAGCUCGUAGUUGAACUUCGGGAUUUGCUCAUUGGUCAGGCUUCACUGUCUGUACUGGUGUAACGAAUUCCUACCUUCUGAUGAAUCUUCAUGCCAUUUACUUGGUGCGGAGGGGAAUCAGGACUGUUACUUUGAAAAAUUAGAGUGUUUAAAGCAGGCUAUUGCUCGAAUACAUUAGCAUGGAAUAAUAGAAUAGGACGGUUGGUUCUAUUUUGUUGGUUUCUAGGAUCACCGUAAUGAUUAAUAGGGAUAGUUGGGGGCAUUAGUAUUCAAUUGUCAGAGGUGAAAUUCUUGGAUUUAUUGAAGACUAACUACUGCGAAAGCAUUUGCCAAGGAUGUUUGCAUUAAUCAAGAACGAAAGUUAGGGGAUCGAAGACGAUCAGAUACCGUCGUAGUCUUAACCAUA